rnacentral:rRNA from 1 species
UACAGAGGUCUCAAGCGUUGUUCGGAUUCAUUGGGCGUAAAGGGUGCGUAGGUGGCGCCAUAAGUCAGGUGUGAAAUCUCGGGGCUCAACUCCGAAACUGCACUUGAUACUUUGGUGCUCGAGUACUGGAGAGGAGAUUGGAAUUUACGGUGUAGCAGUGAAAUGCGUAGAUAUCGUAAGGAAGACCAGUGGCGAAGGCGAAUCUCUGGACAGUUACUGACACUGAGGCACGAAGGCCAGGGGAGCAAACGGG